UGAACGCUGGCGGUAUGCUUAACACAUGCAAGUCGCACGGACUCUUCGGAGUUAGUGGCGGACGGGUGAGUAACGCGUGAGAAUCUGGCUUUGGGUUCGGGACAACCACUGGAAACGGUGGCUAAUACCGGAUGUGCCGAGAGGUAAAAGAGAAAUUGCCUGAAGAUGAGCUCGCGUCUGAUUAGCUAGUUGGUGAGGUAAAGGCUCACCAAGGCAGCGAUCAGUAGCUGGUCUGAGAGGAUGACCAGCCACACUGGGACUGAGACACGGCCCAGACUCCUACGGGAGGCAGCAGUGGGGAAUUUUCCGCAAUGGGCGAAAGCCUGACGGAGCAAUACCGCGUGAGGGAAGAAGGCUCUUGGGUUGUAAACCUCUUUUCUUAGGGAAGAACAAAAUGACGGUACCUAAGGAAUCAGCAUCGGCUAACUCCGUG
rnacentral:rRNA from 1 species